rnacentral:tRNA from 1 species
GGAUUGUGGCUCAGUGUUAGAGCGUGCACCUAGCAUGUGCGGGGCCCUGGGUUCAAUCCUCAGCACCA